GAAAUGCGAUACGUAAUGUGAAUUGCAGAAUUCAGUGAAUCAUCGAAUCUUUGAACGCACCUUGCGCCCCUUGGUAUUCCGAGGGGCACACCCGUUUGAGUGUCGUGAAUACUCUCAACCUUCUUGGUUUCUUUGACCACGAAGGCUUGGACUUUGGAGGUUUUUCUUGCUGGCCUCUUUUGAAGCCAGCUCCUCCUAAAUGAAUGGGUGGGGUCCGCUUUGCUGAUCCUCGACGUGAUAAGCAUUUCUUCUACGUCUCAGUGUCAGCUCGGAACCCGCUUUCCAACCGUCUUUGGACAAAGACAAUGUUCGAGUUGUGACUCGACCUUACAAACCUUGACCUCAAAUCGGGUGAGACUACCCGCUGAACUUAA
rnacentral:rRNA from 1 species